rnacentral:rRNA from 2 species
GGCAGGCCUAACACAUGCAAGUCGAACGGUAACAGGAAGCAGCUUGCUGCUUUGCUGACGAGUGGCGGACGGGUGAGUAAUGUCUGGGAAACUGCCUGAUGGAGGGGGAUAACUACUGGAAACGGUGGCUAAUACCGCAUAACGUCGCAAGACCAAAGAGGGGGACCUUCGGGCCUCUUGCCAUCAGAUGUGCCCAGAUGGGAUUAGCUUGUUGGUGAGGUAACGGCUCACCAAGGCGACGAUCCCUAGCUGGUCUGAGAGGAUGACCAGCCACACUGGAACUGAGACACGGUCCAGACUCCUACGGGAGGCAGCAGUGGGGAAUAUUGCACAAUGGGCGCAAGCCUGAUGCAGCCAUGCCGCGUGUAUGAAGAAGGCCUUCGGGUUGUAAAGUACUUUCAGCGGGGAGGAAGGUGUUGUGGUUAAUAACCGCAGCAAUUGACGUUACCCGCAGAAGAAGCACCGGCUAACUCCGUGCCAGCAGCCGCGGUAAUACGGAGGGUGCAAGCGUUAAUCGGAAUUACUGGGCGUAAAGCGCACGCAGGCGGUCUGUCAAGUCGGAUGUGAAAUCCCCGGGCUCAACCUGGGAACUGCAUUCGAAACUGGCAGGCUUGAGUCUUGUAGAGGGGGGUAGAAUUCCAGGUGUAGCGGUGAAAUGCGUAGAGAUCUGGAGGAAUACCGGUGGCGAAGGCGGCCCCCUGGACAAAGACUGACGCUCAGGUGCGAAAGCGUGGGGAGCAAACAGGAUUAGAUACCCUGGUAGUCCACGCCGUAAACGAUGUCUACUUGGAGGUUGUGCCCUUGAGGCGUGGCUUCCGGAGCUAACGCGUUAAGUAGACCGCCUGGGGAGUACGGCCGCAAGGUUAAAACUCAAAUGAAUUGACGGGGGCCCGCACAAGCGGUGGAGCAUGUGGUUUAAUUCGAUGCAACGCGAAGAACCUUACCUGGUCUUGACAUCCACAGAAGAAUCCAGAGAUGGAUUUGUGCCUUCGGGAACUGUGAGACAGGUGCUGCAUGGCUGUCGUCAGCUCGUGUUGUGAAAUGUUGGGUUAAGUCCCGCAACGAGCGCAACCCUUAUCCUUUGUUGCCAGCGGUUAGGCCGGGAACUCAAAGGAGACUGCCAGUGAUAAACUGGAGGAAGGUGGGGAUGACGUCAAGUCAUCAUGGCCCUUACGACCAGGGCUACACACGUGCUACAAUGGCGCAUACAAAGAGAAGCGACCUCGCGAGAGCAAGCGGACCUCAUAAAGUGCGUCGUAGUCCGGAUUGGAGUCUGCAACUCGACUCCAUGAAGUCGGAAUCGCUAGUAAUCGUGGAUCAGAAUGCCACGGUGAAUACGUUCCCGGGCCUUGUACACACCGCCCGUCACACCAUGGGAGUGGGUUGCAAAAGAAGUAGGUAGCUUAACCUUCGGGAGGGCGCUUACCACUUUGUGAUUCAUGACUGGGGUGAAGUCGUAACAAGGUAACCGUAGGGGAACCUGCGGUUGGAUCACCUCCUUACCUUAAAGAA